rnacentral:lncRNA from 1 species
GUAGGAUUGCUAUGCAUAGUACAGAGCUUUGGUAGUUAAUUCACAAAUUAUUCGUGAAUUAUUAAAAAUUUAAAUUAAAUAGUCUGUUUACGAUUUUUUUUAAAAUAAAUUAUUAAUUCGUAAAUAAUUCGCAAAUUAUUUUCGAAUUAUUAAAAAUCCGAAUAAAAAAUUUAUAAUUUUUAUAUUUAAAUAUAAAUUACCUUAUAUUUUAUAUUUUAUAUUAUAUACUUUAUACUAAAUCCGUUUUUAAACCAAAUUUUUUAACAAAUUUAAAAAUUAAAAAUAAAUUAUAUAUAUAUAUAUAUAUAUUAUUAUUAUAUUCGU